CAUGUCUGUAUUUGUUGUACAAAUAACAGCUCUUUGUUUAAACAUAUGUGGACACAAACCUCGUGUCCGGCUGCACUGUCACCGAUUAGAUGAAGUGAAUAGACGGAUAGAUUCUUCUCACGACGACCUCCGGGUUCCCACAGUCAAUAUAACGGAUAACGUUUGCACAUGACGGCAGGCACACGUAUGUUAUUCGGCAUCACUUAUCUCCCCGUCUGACUCUUGUUUGCAUGCAAUAGACUUUCGACCGCUGAAGAAGUUGUUAAACGAUCCGGGUUACGAUUAUAGUUCGAGUAUGGAUAUCUUCUAAUCAUGUUGUGUUUCAUUUUGGCGUUUAGUGUAGCCGCGCCCACGAGAGCGUCCUUACCUCCGGUAGUGAGACUUCACUCAUUCCGCCUGGCAGUUCACUGAAGUGGGACUUUUUAUGUCCCUUUUUGAACUGUGUUUUUUUCAAUAUAGUUGCUGUAUAUGCGCUGGAUAUUUCACGUAUGUGCCACGUGUCAUCUGUGUUUUCAGGCGAGUUCAAACUGCCCAGUAACGGUGACACGAGUGUGUGUUUUGAUACUGAACCUUAAAUGUGUACUUCACCCACAGGAGGCGCAGAGUAAAGUGUGGAUUAAUGUCCCAUGAUGCUCGCUGCUUUGGUCCCUGUCGAUCAUUCUGUGUGGUAAUAAACGGCUCCGGCGUUGUGUGUGAGGGACCGACUGACGCCGAGUCGUGGUUCAUGUGUUCAUCGCGCCAAGCACUUCGUUUCUUUACGCUUUUUUUUUUUUUGUUUCGCCACAAUGUGAUUUAAUACAAUACAAAUCAGGGGUGAGUGUUCAUCCCUCCAUCGGUCAAUGCCGAGCACCACGAACGCACAACAGACUGUUCAAAUCAUGCCGACUAUGUAUCAUCAGGCAAUAGUGUCUCAAAUUCAAAAGGUCAAAGGUUAUUCUUUCUCCACGCUCAUAACGUGACAUAAGAAGGUGUGUUGCAAACCAACGCUAAACGUGUGUGUUUUAGGGUUGUGAUUUACAUGCAGGACAAUAAUGAUAGUUGUCAUGGUAUUUGAUGUCAUUUCUAAUAUUGUUAGAUUAUAGCUGUAGUUCACACUCGAUGCUUUAGAUGACAGAUUGGACACACAAACUGGACUCUUACGAACGUAAAAGUUUUCAGUCUUGUUUUAAACGUGGUCAGAGUUGGGGCAAGUCUUAAAUCUUCAGGAAGUUUAUUCCAGCUGUUGCGUAGUAACUAAAUGAUGCUUUCCCAUGACUUGUAUUUACUCUGGGAAUCACAGGUUGGUGUCAGAAGAUCUCAGUGAUCUUGAAGGCUUAUGUAGUGGAAGCAUAUCAGUGAUAUACUUUGGCCCUAAACCAUGCAGUGAUUUAUAUGUGAGCAGUAGGAUGUUGAAAUGAAUUCUCUGACAUACUGGGAGCCAAUGUAAGGAUUUAAGAAUUGGUGUAAUGUGCUCACAUCUUUUGUUCUUUGUUAGAACUCUAGCAGCGGCGUUCUGAACAAGCUGGAGCUGCCUGACAGUUUGUCAAUGUGACGAAUGAGCCAAAGAUGUCUCUGUUUCAGUUUAUUCUCUGAUUGCCGUGUUUUGGGGUCCAGGCUUUGGUUUCCGUGUUUUCUCUGCAGCGCCGUGACGUGUCGUUGGAGAUAAUUGGCCCGGUUGUGUUUCAUACCUGCAGCUUCAGCGUCACGUAGACGUCAUUGGCUUCCGCAGCGUGGCGUCCUCUUAGUGAGCUGAGUUUCAUCUCUUUUUGCUGAAGCAUCUACAAUCCAUUCAAGUGCUUUUUUCAUACCACUGUUUUCUUUGUAAUAAAGUAUUCUUUACAUAAGUGUAAAUCAUUGCCGUCAAUUUAUCACCAUGCACGUCCUUUAAACCAACUGUGUGUAGGAGACCAGCGAGAGAAACAUUCAAUCAACAGUGAAAAGAAACAAAUCGCCUCAUCCUGGUGCAGUAAACUCACAAGCUCUUGCUUUUAUUCGGCCACUGACUCCUCGCUCACUACUAGUAGAACAUGCCCGUGACCGCUGAGCGGGUCGAUGACCUCCAGAUGUUGCUGUGGGAGCGGUGAAGUGUGGACGGAGACGAGCAGCCACUGACCACAUCGGGUCAGCCGGCCCGGUGAGUCCAACAGCGAGCAGCGUGUCGUCUGCGAUCGUUGGGGGUCGAGAAAAGGGGAAGUGGGGCACCACGGCUCUAAGGAGAUCUGCGUGAUGGAGCUACAGAACAAACCAAAAGCCAGUCUCAUCUCGUACCGUCGCCCGCUCGCCACUACAAGUGGCCAGUUGCCACGGUAACCGUAUUCUUUGAAGUGUGUGCAGCGAGAGAUUUGAAUGGCAGGCAGCGAGGGAGAAUCUGACACCGCUUUGUCUCCCGGCCUUGACACCAUGUUGCGCUCCGCCCGUCUACGGUAGCUCGCUAACUCUCUCUCUCUCUCUCCGCUCUCUAACUUUUUGUAACUCGGCGCUUGCGAUCACAUCUGGUUCACCGAUGGAAACAAUAUGGCGAGAAAAGUAUUGGACGGGUCGCCAUGACGAUACACUGGUACCCCACAGGUCCUCUCUCUACAACACAAAGCCAUCGAGUCCCCGCUCAGGCCCCCUUCUCCAGGACAAAGACACUGCAAUAAAAUGCAGGUUGGCUUUGCGUGAGCCCAUGAAAGGAGCUCAUCUCUUAGUGUCUAACGUGUAGAUAUAAAUCAGAUUGUUUGAGCGCAAGAAACAAAGUUUGUCCAAGAGAGUUUCAAGUUAGAACCCUGCGUGGUUCAUAACUUCAACAUUCGCACUCUUAUUCGAUUUCAUCACGCACACAAUGCCGAGAUAAGGAAUCCAAUUAAGUCGAUGCAGCACAGGGUUAUUUCCCAUCAUCUCAUACAUGUCUAUAAACCAUGAGCCAUUGAAAGUGUAAUACAUUUUGUCAUAGAUAUGCAAAUGCUCUAUUGUUAGGGGAGGGAUCGGUAACAAAACGAGUGAGUUUUUGAUUAGCUGCAAUGACAACUGGGGUUCAACCAGUUAGAGACACUGCAGCUUUUACCCUGUGAGACCUUUUCGCAGCCGCUUUGAAAAGAAAAAUAGGCCUUCGAUGGCGCCUGUUUGAGGGUUUCUGAUGCGUGCGAUAAAGGUCGCGAGUAACUUGCUCCGUUCAGUCGGACCCGGGCGGGAAAAGCCUUUCGUGCUUUGGAGGUCAGACAGUUUGAGGGUUUGGGCUCUGCCAGGUGACCUGUUCCAUCACCUGCUCCUGCCUGGUUAAACCAGCCGAUUCAAAUAAAGAAUAAUACCCGCGUGAACCCAUCACA
ensembl:lncRNA